rnacentral:rRNA from 1 species
UACGUAGGGGGCGAGCGUUGUCCGGAUUUAUUGGGCGUAAAGAGCGUGUAGGCGGCCAGGUAGGUCUGCUGUGAAAACUCGAGGCUCAACCUCGAGACGUCGGCGGAAACCAUCUGGCUAGAGUCCGGAAGAGGAGAGUGGAAUUCCUGGUGUAGCGAUGAAAUGCGCAGAUAUCAGGAAGAACACCCGUGGCGAAGGCGGCUCUCUGGGACGGUACUGACGCUGAGGCGCGAAAGCCAGGGGAGCAAACGGG